GUCAUCUCCAGCUCGCGGAUGGUUUCCUCCAGGCUGUCCAGUCUCUGGUCCUCGUCCGGUUUGACGUCGCGGCGCUCCAGGAUGGCGCUGGGGCUGGGGGACACGCCCUGGGCGGGGGGCAGGCUGGACAGGCGCUCGCCGUGGUGGACGGGGCUGCCGGCGUACGAGGGCGGGCGGCCGCCGCUGUAGGACAUGCGGGAGCGCGACGGCGACGAGGACUGCAGCACGGGCGGCGGGGAGCCGGAGGCCAGGAGAUCUCUGCUGUUCCUGGCCAGGGAGUGUCCCUGCAUGGCCGAUAAAAUUCCAUCAUCCCAUUGGGAGAUGCUCCGCCCAGGGGGAGGAGCCAAGAAUUCCUACUUGGGUAUAAUCUGAGGUUUGGAACAGCACAGCAGCCUCUGCUCACUGCAUUCCCAGAGGAGCAGCU